AUUGAACGCUGGCGGCAGGCCUAACACAUGCAAGUCGAACGAGGGGCGGACGGGUGAGUAAUGUCUGGGAAACUGCCUGCUGGAGGGGGAUUACUACUGGAAACGGUAGCUAAUACCGCAUACCAUCAGAUGUGCCCAGAUGGGCUUAGCUAGUAGGUGGGGUAACGGCUCACCAAGGCGACGCUCCCUAGCUGGUCUGAGAGGAUGACCAGCCACACUGGAACUGAGACACGGUCCAGACUCCUACGGGGGGAAGCAGUGGGGAAUAUUUGACAAUGGGCGCAAGCCUGAUGCAGCCAUGCCGCGUGUAUGAAGAAGGCCUUCGGGUUGUAAAGUACUUUCAGCGGGGAGGCGUUACCCGCAGAAGAAGCACCGGCUAACUCCGUGCCAGCAGCCGCGGUAAUAC
rnacentral:rRNA from 1 species